GUUCACGGAUGGUGCUAAAAGUCCAGUUACUGGAAGUACAGGGUUUGGAAUAGCAGUUCCGUCAAAAAAUAUUGGAAUAAACAGACGCACUUCGGAUGGACUGGCAGUGUACACGGUUGAAAUGGUAGCAAUUUUGGUGGCAUUGAAGUGGGUAGAGUGUUCAAAAAUCAGGCAGGUGGUAGUAUGUUCUGACUCGGCAGCUGUUCUUUCAAGUCUACAAUCAUUUUGUUCGAAGACAAGGCAGGGCAUGCUGUGCACUAUUCUGGAGACUAUAAGCAGGAUAAGGUGUUGUGGUGGCAAUAUUCACUUUCUUUGGGUGUCAGCUCAUGUGGGGAUCAGUGGAAAUGAAAAGGUGGAUAGGUUGGCAAAAAGAGCGUUGACUAAAAAUAGGACUGAGAUGGCGAUUACAAGCAGUGGAUCUGAAGCAAAAGGUAUUGUUUGGAGGCUGGUUGUUCAGGAGUGGCAGAAGCGGUGGGAUUCAGGGAGUAAGGGCAGGCAAUUGUAUCAUCUUAAGAAGGAGGUGGCAGAGAGUAGGUUGUAUAGGGGUAGUAGGAGAGAUGAGGUGGUCAUUACCAGGCUUAGACUGGGACAUUGUGCAUUAAAUAAAACACUACAGAUGAUAGGAGAACAUGAGACGGGGCUUUGUGGAGUGUGCCAGGAGGAGGAGGAGGAGACAGUAGAGCAUGUAAUACUGCGGUGCAAGGGUUAUGAUGUGGAGAGGUCAGUUCUGCAGAAUAGAUUGAAGGAGCGGGGUGUUGGGGUCUUUAAUCUGAAGAGUGUGUUGGAGGGUAGUAGGGCACAGGUGAGGGAACUGGUGGGGUUUCUGAAGGCUAUAGGUGUUUAUGAAAGAGUGUAGGGUUUUUUUUAUUUUUUAUUUAUUUUUUAUUUUUUGUUGUUGUUUUGUUUUGUUUUUGAUACAGCUUGUAAACUCACUGUCUGACCCAUACUGUCACGGUCCUGGGUCAGUGACCCAGUGUUUUGAGUUUCUUGUGCCUCUGAGUUUUCUGUAUUAUGUUCUUAGUUCUCGUUGUUGUCCUAGCUUGUUCUUUAGUGUAGUGUCUUAGUUUGGUGUUCUUGUAUUCUGUUUAGUUCUCUGAGUAUUUGGUAGCUGCCCUCUGUGUUUCUUAGUUGCUGUCUCCCCUAGUCUAGUUUGCAUCUUUGCUAAUUCCUGUUUUACUUUGAAGUUCUGUGUCUCAUGUGAGUGUAUCCUACUUUGCUCCCUUGUCUCGUCAGUUCUGAUUUCUCCCAGCUGUGCUCUCCUUCUGUGUCUCAUUCCCCUCGUUACUUCCCAUUGUAUUUAAACCCUGUGUUUCUCUGAGUCAGUGUCGCGUCGUCCCUCAUGCUGUGUGUGAUUCUCCCCGUGUCUUCUGGUAUGUGUUAUAAUUAGCGUUUCCCAGUGUAGUUUUGUAUUGCUUGUGUUCUAUUUUCCAGCAAUAAAGCUGUGCUUUUGAGUUCAAGUUCUGUCCCCGUGAGUUUGCGUUUGGGUCCAAUCCCUGCCUGCCACACAGCGUUUCAUGACACAUACUCCGGAACGGUAGGAGGCGGUAAUGCUCCUUUACGUUGGUUGCCAACCGCCGUUAAACACAAAGAAGAAGAAGAAGAAGAAGA
ensembl:lncRNA